rnacentral:rRNA from 1 species
ACAAGCCCUGGAAACGGGGUCUAAUACCGGAUACAACACACGACCGCAUGGUCUGUGUGUGGAAAGCUCCGGCGGUGAAGGAUGAGCCCGCGGCCUAUCAGCUUGUUGGUGGGGUGAUGGCCUACCAAGGCGACGACGGGUAGCCGGCCUGAGAGGGCGACCGGCCACACUGGGACUGAGACACGGCCCACACUCCUACGGGAGGCAGCAGUGGGGAAUAUUGCACAAUGGGCGAAAGCCUGAUGCAGCGACGCCGCGUGAGGGAUGACGGCCUUCGGGUUGUAAACCUCUUUCAGCAGGGAAAAAGCGAAAGUGACGGUACCUGCAGAAGAAGCGCCGGCUAACUACGUGCCAGCAGCCGCGGUAAUACGUAGGGCGCAAGCGUUGUCCGGAAUUAUUGGGCGUAAAGAGCUCGUAGGCGGCUUGUCACGUCGGAUGUGAAAGCCCGGGGCUUAACCCCGGGUCUGCAUUCGAUACGGGCAGGCUAGAGUUCGGUAGGGGAGAUCGGAAUUCCUGGUGUAGCGGUGAAAUGCGCAGAUAUCAGGAGGAACACCGGUGGCGAAGGCGGAUCUCUGGGCCGAUACUGACGCUGAGGAGCGAAAGCGUGGGGAGCGAACAGGAUUAGAUACCCUGGUAGUCCACGCCGUAAACGUUGGGAACUAGGUGUGGGCGACAUUCCACGUCGUCCGUGCCGC